UCCAGCCUAGGCAACGCUGAGACACCGGCUCUGAAAACCCACAAAACUUAAAAGAUGAACACAGAUAAACUAUGGGAGCCCGGUAUGCGGUAAGCACUCUACAGGUGACAGCCUGGAACCCAGGACAGGUCACGAAAGGCUGCCGGCUUCAGUCACUGCCUGGUGGAAAACAAGCCUGUCUUUGGGACCAGCCAGCUAACAAGUGAGCGUUUCACCACAUCUGAAGGCAAAGUACCCAAAUGGGCAACCGUGGACGGCUAUGUAAAAAUCAAGACUCCUGGGACACCUUCUUGGGACACAUUCUUAAUAAACAGAUACGUGCAUGAGGACUUUGUAUGCAUUUCUAUGCAACAGGCCACCCAAACCUCAGUGAGCAAAAACCUCUCUUCACUGCUCAUGACCCUGUGGGCCUGCAGCUUGAGCCAGUUCAGCUGAGACUGCUUCUCUCAGCCCCACGAGGUGACCACUGGGCCUACUUAUCAGCAGUGGCCUCCUGGCAGAUCCGGGCAACGUGUCACCAGCCAGGCUGGCCAGGCCUCCCUCCCGGCGGGUCUCUAUCGGUCUCUAUUGGCAGCGAGAGAAAGCAAAUCCCUGUGGUGCUCCCAUCCCUCUCCCCAGGAGAAGCAGAGCAGCAGAAAGCAGAUGGCGGCCAGGGCCGGGACCCUCUGCUGUUCCCACAGGCCUCUCCAGAGGCUCUGCAGGACCAGCCAGCAGCCUCUAAUGGUCCCGUCCUGUUCCACGCCCUCAGAUGCCAUCCUCUCCACAGAGAUGGUUCCUGCCAUGGCGCUCUCCCUAACUUGGAAGAAUGGCACUCCCCUUGAUGCUGAUGUCAGGGAGGAAAGCAGUUUCCAGUCGCCCAGGCCCAGGACAGGGCAUUCCCAGCUAUCGUGGAGCAUGGAGCUCCAGGAUGCCCACUUGGGUGCCUUUGAGAUGAGGCGCUUUGAGAAGGAAUCCUGCAGUCUCCUGAGGAGGUCCAAAGAAAUUUCGAGGAUAUCUCAGCCAUCCGUUCUUUGUUCACUGUGGAAGUCGAACACUAGGGCUCCUGGAGGGGCCCUGGGUCUCCAUAGAAGCAUUAGCAGCCACCAUCUACUUCCUGGACUUCCGUGCCUGCCCCACCUCUGUUAUGUUGUUAAAUGCCUCCUUUGUGGGAAUUAUGGAAUAAACAAUCACUUUGGUGUCCCAGAAGAUGAACCUGAUGCUCGAGGGCUUGAGUGCAGGAAUCCAGCCAGGCUCCCUCUGUAUGCCCCAGGAUACGGAGUUAGGCUUUGCAAAAGCAUGUGAGACAUCAGCCGCUGUGAAACAUGGUCUACACAGCACCAAAAACCCGUUUGGCCAUGUUUUCCCUUCAGUAGAGUUAAAUGGCAUGACCCUGUGACUGUCCCCCAUAAGAGGAAUUACAAAUUAUGCUGGCAUUGCCAGUUUACAGGAUACAGUGGCACAAAAUGAUUUCCACCAGCUUAGGAUAUAGACCCAGGCAGACUCGAGAGAUUAAGUGGAUUUCAAACUGUGGUCUCAAGCCUUCCGGGAACUGCCCGAAAGGGAGGGAGGCUGCCAGUCUGGGAGUGGCCCAGCUGCCCAGCCUAUUCACACACUGGGCUUUCAGUUGAAAAGUGUUCAAAGCUUACACGUGUAAAUGCCACUGAUCUGUGAACUCCCUUCCUGUCAUGCCCAGAGGCUGGCAGAGUGUAGCUAGAAGGGUGGGACCAGAGGGCUGGGUCACGUGACAUGCGCACGGGGGUGCUGGCCUCCCUGGCCAGGGUGGCCAGCACAGCCUCUCUUUCCCUUUCCAGCCACACAGGUCAAUCGUGUGCUUGGAUUUCUGUCUCCCGAAUUACAGAGUGUGUUGCCAACCUGCUGUGCUGAGGCAGUGGCCCGGUCUUGGUCCGGGUGUCCUAGGACUGAUUGAAGAAGCCUGUUGGACUGUAGUACCUGUGUACAACCAAAGAUGUAGCUUUAAACCAUCUUGGCUUGUUUUAUUUAAUUCUGCCCAAUCUAUUUGAGGAAGGACACUCACGGGUACUUUUUAGAUUAUAGCCUAAAGUGGAUUAUUGAUUUCCUUGUUUCUAAACCAUCAGAAGGAACAUAAAACUGCUAAUAAGAGGUGACCAAUAUUCCAUGAUAUCAUGAUUUGAGACAUAACAUUUUUUUGCCCUAUAUUUUAAAAAUAAAAAGACAUGAGACUGGAGUGGCAAAAGCCAGAUGGUGCCAAACCAUUCAAUCAGCAGCUGCCAUGGUGGUGGAUACCUUGUGUAAGGCCCGCCCAGCUCACAGUGUGCCACCGUCCCCGGGACAACUCCCAACUCCCACAGUGAUGGAGCAGGAGCGGUCUGUCUGUGCUCUGUGACAGGCAUGCAGUCCACCCCUACUCCAGGACAUCAGGCGGGAUUCUGACUCCCAGGAUGGCCCUGGGUGCUUAGAGCUGGCAUUGAGACAAUUGUAAGUCUCUCUUCGUGCCUAGGCCUGAAAGGUUUAAGCCCAGCGCAGUUAGGAUGGUCUCUAUCACUUGCCAGCCUAAAGAGACAAAAAUGGAGUAGACAUACAGGGGCAGGCGAGAGAGGACAUUCCGAUGACCUUUCAGUGCCAUAGGCAGUGUGGUAUGCAUGGGUGAACACGUGGCCAGGAAGAUGUCUUUGCUUCAGGGCAUUCAUGUUCUAGUGGGGAGAUGGCAUCAGGGAGCGGUGCAGUGUGAUAACUGGGACACCAUCCAGGGCAGGAGCAGAGGCGUGAGGGUCAGUGCAGACCAGGCUGUGCCAUGCAGCGCCGGCCGAGUUGUUUGGCCUCUCUGAGCCUGUUCUGUAUCUGUAAGAAGGAGUCGAAGGAUGAAAAGGCUCAGGUGGUGACAGAGAAAUGCAGUUUUCUAAUGGAGAGGCAUGUGAAUGGUUGCAGGAGCCAAGGGCGCUGCAGCCGCCCCACUCAGGAGCAUCAGAGCUAGCUGCAGGAAGCUACGCUGAGCCUUGGAGGAUGAGAAGACAUUGAUGGCAGGAGCGCCCACAGCAGAGGAAAGAGCACUUCCGUGGCACGUAAAGUCAGAGAAGAAAGGAGGCUUAUGCCACCACUGGUCAGAAGAGUCCUCCUGAUCGGGCCACUUAGACCUGCAGUCUGUAGAGACCAGGGAAAGGGAACGUGAUGCGUGAUGAAAUCAGAGGUGGGCAAGCUGAGCCUUGGCCUGACGCUGUGCAGUCCGAAGCUAAGAAUGAACAUUAAACAUGUAAAGUGUUGGGUUGGUUGAGGGUUCUGAAGAAGAUAUGCAGUGGGCUUAUGUGGCCAGCAGAGCUGUAAAUCUUUGCCAUCUGGUCCUUUACAGAGAAAGGUAAUCCCUGGUUUAGCCAAGUAGGGUCUACUUCUGGAGCUGGGAGUUAGAGCAGCUGCCAUCGAAGCACACAGACCAAGGGUGGCAGGGCAGAAACACAAAGCCAAAUCAGCACCAUGGGCGAGGGGACGGGAUCUCUGAGGCACCCAGCGGUGUCUGCCUGGAGCUCAGGCACGCGUGCAGCUUCCAUGCAGAACACUUGUAUCAGGUGUCAAGAGUGAAAGUAGAAAGAGGUAAGAGGAUUUUGGAAUUAGACUCAACAGGACUUAGUGAUAGAUUCACGGGAGAGGCGCGGGAAGGGAACAUCAGGGCUCACCCAGGAUUCUGGCCUGCACUAUCGGUGGAUGAUGGCGCUCUCGGGUGAUGUGGGGGAUGGGGGAAGAAACCCGGCAUUCCUUUUGGGUGCGUUAAGUUUGCGAUGCCUACAGGAUGGCUGAGUGGCCGUGUUAGGACAAUAGCUAUGUGCAAAAGACUGAUGUCCGGAGAGGGGAGCUGUGCUGGGGAUGGACAUCUGAAACCCUUGAAAAUGGAAGACGUCACCCAUCACCUAAAGAGAGGGUGGAGAAAGGAAAGAAGGGAACCAGGGAACCUGGCACCAGAUCCAAAGAGGCUCAGCCUAAUACCAGAGGCUUACCUCACUGGCUGCUGCAGAAAAUAAGUGUUAGUGGUGAGCCUCCUCAUUCUAUUCCUGACCUCAGAGGGGACACUUUCAAUAUUUCACCAGUAAGUGUGAGAUCUGUGGUAGGAUUUUUAAAU